CCUACGGGUGGCAGCAGUGGGGGAUAUUGCACAAUGGGGGGAACCCUGAUGCAGCGACGCCGCGUGGGUGAAGGAGUGCUUCGGCAUGUAAAGCCCUAUCGGCAGGGAAGAAGCAAGACGGUACCUGACUAAGAAGCCCCGGCUAACUACGUGCCAGCAGCCGCGGUAAUACGUAGGGUGCAAGCGUUGUCCGGAAUCAUUGGGCGUAAAGCGUUCGUAGGCGGCAAGGUAGGUCUGAUGUUAAAGCCCGGGGCUCAACUCCGGUUCGGCAUUGGAUACUAUCUAGCUAGAAUGUGGUAGAGGUAAAGGGAAUUCCUGGUGUAGCGGUGAAAUGCGUAGAUAUCAGGAGGAACAUCGGUGGCGAAAGCGCUUUACUGGACCAUUAUUGACGCUGAGGAACGAAAGCCAGGGGAGCAAAUGGGAUUAGAUACCCCAGUAGUC
rnacentral:rRNA from 1 species